UGUCAAGACACUUAAGGUGCAUACACACUGCGCUGAUGUUUCGUGUUAGCACGCCAUAUGACGUGUUAACACGUGUUAGCAAAAAAAUCUGGAACAGGCGUUCUCAUAAUGAAGUUCACACUGGUCUGAUAUGUCGCGUAACACGUCAGCUGACGUGUUACGCGACAUAACAUGCAUCAACACGCAUCAGAUCAAAUUCAAAACUCCCAGAUAUUCGUCAGAAGGAAAUCUGCGUCAGAUAGGUGUAGGCGCAUAUUAUUGUAUAGUGUUUUGAUAUUAUUCAAUAGUGUUUCGAAGUUAUUCUAUAGUGUUUCGAUAUUAUUUUAUAGUGUUUCGAUAUUAUUCUAUGUUAUGUGUUUCUAUAUUAUUCAACAGGUACUAUUCUAUGGUGACAAAGUGUUUUCGUUAUGGAGGAACAGUUAAUAGAAUAUGUAAGAGGAUACGAUCACUUAUUUAAUCCACGAAACAAGGAUUAUAGGGACCAGAAGGCCAGAAGAGAAGCUUGGGAGGAAAUCAGCGGAAAAAUUGGUAUUUCAGCUGACGUAUGCAAAGACACCUGGACAAAACUUCGGAAUGCUUAUACAAAUGCCAGAAAGAGAAGGAACACAAAAUCUGGUCAAGCAGCUAAGAAUACUCCGAAGUGGAAAUAUGAAGACCAAAUGUCGUUUUUGAUCCCAACAUUGGAACCACGGAGAUAUUACUCAUGGCAAUGUGGAACCACUUUCUCAAAGUGAUGGUGAUGUGGCUAGUGCGGUCAUCAAUGAAAAUACUGAAGAGGACUUAAACAUAAGCCAAAUAGACAAAACUGCAGCAUCAGAGAAGGGUGCCGAUGACAAUGGUAACCAAGAAACUACAAUUGCAGAUGGAAGCAAUGGUGACCAACAAGUUGCUGGAAGUAAAUCAACUCCCAAACUAAAGUAUAGGAAAAGGCAGGCACUGGAUUCAUCCAUGAGUGAAAUAGUAAACAUUAUGAAGGAUAACAGCCGUAUGCGGGCCCAAAGUCUUCAACUUUCAGAAUGCCACAAAACCCAUAGAGACGAAACGGAAAUGUUUUUUUUAAAUAUUGCCAGCUCGGUUAAAAAACUCAGUGCCAUUGAACAAGCCAGAGUAAAGAUGGAAAUAAGCAAUAUGGUGUUCAAGGCCCAGAUUCGGGAGAUGGAACAGCAAAACCUUUAUCAAAACACUGCAUCUGGUCCCUUUCAUCUACCCGUAGUACCAAUUCCAUCUCCCUCUAACACAUCCUCCGUUACAUCGUUUGGUGAAUCAAACCCCAAUUGCUAUUCUACCUCGACUACAGCACCUUCUACCCCUUUUCCUGAAAUGGAAGACUCUACAAGUCCUACAGGAACGGAGGCAGUAUAUUUUUCUAUGUAAUAUCUUACAUAUCUAUGUGUUUCAUGUACCUAAUUAGCUGAAAAUAAUAUUAAGACAUAAUUGUGUAAGUUUUACUCACCUCAAGCAUACAGCAAGUCUCUCUUCUGCUGCUAUACAUUUCUUUAGUUGAGUGUUGGAUUUUGUAAUUGCUGGUUUUAUUAUGUCUAAAAGGUUGUAGAACUCUUCUUUUGUCAUCCUAAAGUACAUAACAAAACGAUCUU